rnacentral:rRNA from 1 species
CUAGAGUACUGUAGAGGGGGGUAGAAUUUCAGGUGUAGCGGUGAAAUGCGUAGAGAUCUGAAGGAAUACCGGUGGCGAAGGCGGCCCCCUGGACAGAUACUGACACUCAGAUGCGAAAGCGUGGGGAGCAAACAGGAUUAGAUACCCUGGUAGUCCACGCCGUAAACGAUGUCUACUUGGAGGUUGUGGCCUUGAGCCGUGGCUUUCGGAGCUAACGCGUUAAGUAGACCGCCUGGGGAGUACGGUCGCAAGAUUAAAACUCAAAUGAAU